rnacentral:tRNA from 2 species
GUUCUCGUGGCUCAACUGGAUAGAGCAAUCGCCUCCUAAGCGAUAGGUUGUGGGUUCAAGUCCCACCGGGAACA